UGAGUAAUACUUAGGAUCUGCCCAUUAGUGGGGGACAACUCGAGGAAACUCGAGCUAAUACCGCAUACGGGGGAAAGCGUCGGACCUCGCGCUAAUGGAUGAGCCUAAGUCGGAUUAGCUUGUUGGUGAGGUAAGGCUCACCAAGGCGACGAUCCGUAUCUGGUCUGAGAGGGGGAUCCCCCACACUGGUACUGAGACACGGACCAGACUCCUACGGGAGGCAGCAGUGAGGAAUAUUGGACAAUGGAGGCAACUCGGAUCCAGCCAUGCCGCGUGCAGGAAGACUGCCCUAUGGGUUGUAAACUGCUUUUAUACGGGAAGAAAAACAGCGGUUGGGACUGACGGUACUGAUAAGAUAAGGACCGGCUAACUCCGUGCCAGCAGCCGCGGUAAUACGGAGGGUCCGAGCGUUAUCCGGAAUCAUUGGGUUUAAAGGGUCCGUAGGCGGGCAAUUAAGUCAGAGGUGAAAGUUUGCGGCUCAACCGUAAAAUUGCCUUUGAAACUGGUUGUCUUGAAUUAUUAUGAAGUGGUUAGAAUAAGUAGUGUAGCGGUGAAUGCAUAGAUAUUACAUAGAAUACCAAUUGCGAAGGCAGAUUACUAAUAAUAUACUGACACUGAUGGACGAAAGCGUGGGUAGCGAACAGGAUUAGAUACCCUGGUAGUCCACGCCGUAAACGAUGGAUACUAGCUGUUCGAUCUUCGGAUUGAGUGGCUAAGCGAAAGUGAUAAGUAUCCCACCUGGGGAGUACGUUCGCAAGAAUGAAACUCAAAGGAAUUGACGGGGGCCCGCACAAGCGGUGGAGCAUGUGGUUUAAUUCGAUAAUACGCGAGGAACCUUACCAGGGCUUAAAUGUAAGGAUUUAGAAAUAGAUCCUCCUUCGGGCUAGUUACAAGGUGCUGCAUGGUUGUCGUCAGCUCGUGCCGUGAGGGGACAGGUUAAGUCCUAUAACGAGCGCAACCCCUGUUGUUAGUUGCCAUCGAGUAAUGUUGGGACUCUAACAAGACUGCCGGUGCAAACCGAGAGGAAGGUGGGGAUGACGUCAAAUCAUCACGGCCCUUACGUCCUGGGCUACACACGUGCUACAAUGGUAUGGACAGAGAGCAGCCACUACGCGAGUAGGAGCGAAUCUACAAACCAUAUCACAGUUCGGAUCGGAGUCUGCAACUCGACUCCGUGAAGCUGGAAUCGCUAGUAAUCGGAUAUCAGCAUGAUCCGGUGAAUACGUUCCCGGGCCUUGUACACACCGCCC
rnacentral:rRNA from 1 species